AGUGAACGCUGGCGGUAGGCCUAACACAUGCAAGUCGAACGGCAGCACAGUAAGAGCUUGCUCUUACGGUUGGCGAGUGGCGGACGGGUGACGAAUACAUCGGAAUCUACUUUUUCGUGGGGGAUAACGUAGGGAAACUUCCACUAAUACCGCAUACGACCUACGGGUUAAUGCAGUAGUGCAUCGGACCUUGCGCGAUUGAAUGAGCCGGUUCCGGAUUGGCUGAUUGGCGGGGUAAAGUCCCACCAUGCCGACGCUCCGUAGCUGGUCGGAGAGGAUGACCGGCCACACUGAAACGGGGAACGGGCCCAGCUUCCAACGGGAGGAAGAGGUGGGGAAUAUUCGACAAUGGGCGCAAGCCUGAUCCAGCCCUCCGGCGUAGGUAAAGAAGGCCUUCGGGUUGUAAAGCCCUUUUGUUGGGAAAGAAAAGCAGCAGGUUAACACCCCGCUGUUCGGACGGUACCCAAAGAAUAAGCACCGGCUAACUUCGU
rnacentral:rRNA from 1 species